ACGGAGGAUGCAAGCGUUAUCCGGAAUUAUUGGGCGUAAAGCGUACGUAGGCUGUUUCAUAAGUCUGUUGUCAAAGCGCGAGGCUCAACCUUGUAAAGGCAAUGGAAACUGCGAGACUAGAGAGAGAUAGGGGCAGGAGGAAUUCCAGGUGUAGCGGUGAAAUGCGUAGAUAUCUGGAAGAACACCAGUGGCGAAAGCGUCCUGCUGGAUCUCAACUGACGCUGAAGUACGAAAGCUAGGGGAGCGAAUGGGAUUAGAUACCCCAGUAGUCCUAGCCGUAAACGAUGGGUACUAGGUGUUGGUCGUAUCGACCCGAUCAGUGCCGUAGCUAACGCGUUAAGUACCCCGCCUGGGGAGUACGGUCGCAAGAUUG
rnacentral:rRNA from 1 species